rnacentral:rRNA from 1 species
UACGUAGGGGGCAAGCGUUGUCCGGAUUUACUGGGCGUAAAGAGCGCGUAGGCGGAAGGUGAAGCGUGGCCUGAAAGCCCCCGGCUCAACCGGGGAGGGCGGCUGCGAACUGGCCUUCUUGAGGGCGAUAGAGGGGGGCGGAAUCCUGGUGUAGCGGUGAAAUGCGUUGAUAUCAUCAGGAACACCGGUGGCGAAGGCGGCUUUACUGGGUCUUACCUGGACGCUGAGGCAACGAAAGCUAG